GACGAACGCUGGCGGCGUGCCUAAUACAUGCAAGUCGAGCGGACCGACGGGAGCUUGCUCCCUUAGGUCAGCGGCGGACGGGUGAGUAACACGUGGGUAACCUGCCUGUAAGACUGGGAUAACUCCGGGAAACCGGGGCUAAUACCGGAUGCUUGAUUGAACCGCAUGGUUCAAUCAUAAAAGGUGGCUUUUAGCUACCACUUGCAGAUGGACCCGCGGCGCAUUAGCUAGUUGGUGAGGUAACGGCUCACCAAGGCGACGAUGCGUAGCCGACCUGAGAGGGUGAUCGGCCACACUGGGACUGGGACACGGCCCAGACUCCUACGGGAGGCAGCAGUAGGGAAUCUUCCGCAAUGGACGAAAGUCUGACGGAGCAACGCCGCGUGAGUGAUGAAGGUUUUCGGAUCGUAAAACUCUGUUGUUAGGGAAGAACAAGUACCGUUCGAAUAGGGCGGUACCUUGACGGUACCUAACCAGAAAGCCACGGCUAACUACGUGCCAGCAGCCGCGGUAAUACGUAGGUGGCAAGCGUUGUCCGGAAUUAUUGGGCGUAAAGCGCGCGCAGGCGGUUUCUUAAGUCUGAUGUGAAAGCCCCCGGCUCAACCGGGGAGGGUCAUUGGAAACUGGGGAACUUGAGUGCAGAAGAGGAGAGUGGAAUUCCACGUGUAGCGGUGAAAUGCGUAGAGAUGUGGAGGAACACCAGUGGCGAAGGCGACUCUCUGGUCUGUA
rnacentral:rRNA from 1 species